GGAGAGGUUCCCGAGUGGUCAAAGGGAACAGACUGUAAAUCUGUCGGCUCUUGCCUUCGAAGGUUCGAAUCCUUCCCUCUCCACUA
rnacentral:tRNA from 1 species